CUGGGUUGGGAUGAGUGGCGAACGGGUGAGUAACACGUGAGUAACCUGCCCUCUUCUUUGGGAUAACGGUCGGAAACGGCUGCUAAUACCGGGUAUUCACUGUCCUUCGCAUGGGGGGUGGUGGAAAGGUUUUUUCUGGUGGGGGAUGGGCUCGCGGCCUAUCAGCUUGUUGGUGGGGUGAUGGCUUACCAAGGCUUUGACGGGUAACCGGCCUGAGAGGGUGACCGGUCACAUUGGGACUGAGAUACGGCCCAG
rnacentral:rRNA from 1 species